rnacentral:rRNA from 1 species
AUGUCCUACGGGGGGCAGCAGUGGGGAAUAUUGCACAAUGGGCGAAAGCCUGAUGCAGCAACGCCGCGUGAGCGAUGAAGGCCUUCGGGUCGUAAAGCUCUGUCCUCAAGGAAGAUAAUGACGGUACUUGAGGAGGAAGCCCCGGCUAACUACGUGCCAGCAGCCGCGGUAAUACGUAGGGGGCUAGCGUUAUCCGGAAUUACUGGGCGUAAAGGGUGCGUAGGUGGUUUCUUAAGUCAGAGGUGAAAGGCUACGGCUCAACCGUAGUAAGCCUUUGAAACUGUUAUUCUAGAGUAUGGGAGAGG